rnacentral:rRNA from 1 species
UAUUGGACAAUGGGGGCAACCCUGAUCCAGCCAUGCCGCGUGAGUGAUGAAGGCCUUCGGGUUGUAUAGCUCUUUUGGCGGGGACGAUGAUGACGGUACCCGCAGAAUAAGCCCCGGCUAACUUCGUGCCAGCAGCCGCGGUAAGACGAAGGGGGCUAGCGUUGUUCGGAAUUACUGGGCGUAAAGCGAGUGUAGGUGGUUAUCCAAGUUGGAUGUGAAAGCCUUGAGCUCAACUCAAGAAAUGCAUUCAGGACUGGAUGGCUAGAGGACCGGAGAGGAUAGUGGAAUUCCCAGUGUAGUGGUGAAAUACGUAGAGAUUGGGAAGAACACCAGUGGCGAAGGCGGCUAUCUGGACGGUUUCGACACUAAGACCGAAG